rnacentral:rRNA from 1 species
UGGGGAAUCAUGGUCAAUGGGCGAAAGCCUGAACCUGCGACGCCGCGUGAGUGAUGAAGGUCGUAAGAGCGUAAAACUCUUUUCAGGGAUCUUAAAGCCUGUCUGUCAACAACAGGCAGGUCUGACUCUCCUUGGAAGAAGCCCCAGCCAACUACGUGCCAGCAGCUGCGGUAAUACGUAGGGGGCGAGCGUUAUUCGGAAUUACUGGGUGUAAAGGGUAUGUAGGCGGCCCUUCAAGUCACGUGUCAAAGUCCAGUGCUCAACGCUGGGUGUGCACGCGAUACUGACGGGCUUGAGGGCUGGAGAGGUGAGCGGAAUUCCCGGUGUAGUGGUAAAAUACGUAGAGAUCGGGAGGAACACCAGCGGCGCAGGCGGCUCACUGGACAGUUUCUGACGCUAAGGUACGAAAGCGUGGGGAGCAAACA